rnacentral:piRNA from 1 species
UGAAAUUUGGCUCAUAAAAAU